rnacentral:rRNA from 1 species
AGCGAACGUUGGCGGCGUGGAUUAGGCAUGCAAGUCGAGCGCGAACCCGCAAGGGGGAGAGCGGCAAACGGGGUAGGAAUGAUUGGUGACGUACCCUCAGGACGGGGAUAGCCACGGGAAACUGUGGGUAAUACCCGAUAAUCAUCUUGGCUUGAACAUUGAGAUGCAAAGGUGUGAUUCCACCGGAGGAGCGGCCAAUUUGACAUCAGCUAGUUGGUAAGGUAACGGCUUACCAAGGCUUUGACGUCUAGGGGGUGUGAGAGCAUGGCCCCCACCACUGGGACUGAGAUACUGCCCAGACACCUACGGGUGGCUGCAGUCGAGAAUCUUCGGCAAUGGGCGAAAGCCUGACCGAGCGACGCCGCGUGCGGGAUGAAGGUCUUCGGAUUGUAAACCGCUGUCAGAGGGGAUGAAGUUAUGGUGGGUUCUCCCACCAUAUUGACAGAGCCUCAGAGGAAGCACGGGCUAAGUAUGUGCCAGCAGCCGCGGUAACAC